rnacentral:rRNA from 1 species
UACGGAGGGGGCUAGCGUUGUUCGGAAUUACUGGGCGUAAAGCGCACGUAGGCGGCUUUGUAAGUUAGAGGUGAAAGCCCAGGGCUCAACCCUGGAAUUGCCUUUAAGACUGCAUCGCUAGAAUUGUGGAGAGGUAAGUGGAAUCCGAGUGUAGAGGUGAAAUUCGUAGAUAUUCGGAAGAACACCAGUGGCGAAGGCGGUCUGCUGGGCAGUUGCUGACACUGAGGCGCGACAGCGUGGGAGCAACAGG